rnacentral:rRNA from 1 species
CCUACGGGUGGCAGCAGUGAGGAAUAUUGGUCAAUGGACGAAAGUCUGAACCAGCCAAGUAGCGUGAAGGAUGCCUGCCCUAUGGGUUGUAAACUUCUUUUAUAAAGGAAUAAAACGAGGCACGUGUGCCUUUUUGCAUGUACUUUAUGAAUACGGAUCGGCUAACUCCGUGCCCGCAGCCGCGGUAAUACGGCGGAUCCGAGCGUUAUCCGGAUUUAUUGGGUUUAAAGGGAGCGUAGAUGGGUUGUUAAGUCAGUUGUGAAAGUUUGCGGCUCAACCGUAAAAUUGCAAUUGAUACUGGAAGUCGUGAGUACAGUUGAGGUAGGCGGAAUUCGUGGUGUAGCGGUGAAAUGCUUAGAUAUCACGAAGAACCCCGAUUGCGAAGGCAGCUUACUAAACUGUGACUGACAUUGAUGCUCGAAAGUGUGGGUAUCAAACAGGAUUAGAUACCCGUGGAGUC